rnacentral:rRNA from 1 species
GAGGGAAAGGUGAAAAGAACCCCGGGAGGGGAGUGAAAUAGAACCUGAAACCGUGUGCCUACAACCGGUCAAAGCCCCUUAUGAGGGUGAUGACGUGCUUUUUGUAGAACGAGCCAACGAGUUACGGUAUGUAGCAAGGUUAAGUACUUAAGGUACGGAGCCGAAGGGAAACCGAGUCUUAAUAGGGCGACUAGUUGCAUGCCGUAGACCCGAAACCGGGUGACCUAUCCAUGGCCAGGUUGAAGCGGGGGUAAAACCCCGUGGAGGACCGAACCACGUUGCUGUUGAAAAAGCAUGGGAUGAGCUGUGGAUAGCGGAGAAAUUCCAAUCGAACUCGGAGAUAGCUGGUUCUCCUCGAAAUAGCUUUAGGGCUAGCGUCGGAUAUGAGUAGUGGAGGUAGAGCACUGAAUGGGCUAGGGGGCAUAGCGCUUACCGAACCUUAUCAAACUCCGAAUGCCACAUACUAUUAGUCCGGCAGUCAGACUGCGAAAGAUAAGUUCCGUAGUCAAAAGGGAAACAGCCCAGAUCGUCAGCUAAGGUCCCAAAGUGUAAGUUAAGUGGAAAAGGAUGUGGGAUUUCUAAGACAACUAGGAUGUUGGCUUAGAAGCAGCCACUCAUUAAAAGAGUGCGUAAUAGCUCACUAGUCGAGAGAUCCUGCGCCGAAGAUGUCCGGGGCUCAAACUUACCACCGAAGCUACGGGUUCACACUUAUGUGUGAGCGGUAGAGGAGCGUCGUAAUCGGGCUGAAGUCGUACCGUAAGGAGCGGUGGACUGAUUACGAGUGAGAAUGUUGGCAUUAGUAGCGAGAUGUGGGUGAGAAUCCCACAGGCCGAAUAUCUAAGGUUUCCUCAGGAAGGUUCGUCCGCUGAGGGUUAGUCGGGACCUAAGCCGAGGCCGAAAGGCGUAGGCGAUGGACAAUCGGUUGAUAUUCCGAUACCACUACUGAUCGUUAUUAUCGAUGGUGUGACGGAGAAGGAUAGAGUGUGCUAGCUAUUGGAUGCUAGUCUAAGCGUUUAGGGAGUUAGGAAAGGCAAAUCCGUCCUAACAAUUCUGAGGCGUGAUGGGGAAGGUUCUACGGAACCGAAGUACUUGAUUCCAUGCUUCCAAGAAAAGCAUCUAGAGAGAGAUGUAGUGCCCGUACCGCAAACCGACACAGGUAGAUGAGGAGAGAAUCCUAAGGCCGGCGGAAGAAUCACAGUUAAGGAACUAGGCAAAUUGACCCCGUAACUUAGGGAGAAGGGGUGCCUGUGAGAGCAGGCCGCAGAGAAUAGGCCCAAGCAACUGUUUAGCAAAAACACAGGUCUCUGCUAAAGCGAAAGCUGAUGUAUAGGGGCUGACGCCUGCCCGGUGCUGGAAGGUUAAGGGGAACACUUAGCGCAAGCGAAGGUGUGAACUUAAGCCCCAGUAAACGGCGGCCGUAACUAUAACGGUCCUAAGGUAGCGAAAUUCCUUGUCAGGUAAGUUCUGACCCGCACGAAUGGCGUAAUGACUUGGGCACUGUCUCAACUGUGAAUCCGGCGAAGUUGUAGUGCGAGUGAAGAUGCUCGCUACCCGCGAUUGGACGGAAAGACCCCGUAGAGCUUUACUGUAGCUUAGCAUUGAAUUUCGGUAUUGUCUGUACAGGAUAGGUGGGAGACUGGGAAAUCAGGGCGUCAGCCUUGAUGGAGUCGUCCUUGGGAUACCACCCUGACAGUACUGAGGUUCUAACUGGAUGCCAUGAAUCUGGUGACAGGACAUUGUUAGGUGGGCAGUUUGACUGGGGCGGUCGCCUCCUAAAAAGUAACGGAGGCGCCCAAAGGUUCCCUCAGAACGGUCGGAAAUCGUUCGAAGAGUGCAAAGGCAGAAGGGAGCCUGACUGCGACACCCACAAGUGGAGCAGGGACGAAAGUCGGGCUUAGUGAUCCGGUGGUACCUCGUGGGAGGGCCAUCGCUCAACGGAUAAAAGCUACCUCGGGGAUAACAGGCUGAUCUCCCCCAAGAGUCCACAUCGACGGGGAGGUUUGGCACCUCGAUGUCGGCUCGUCGCAUCCUGGGGCUGAAGUAGGUCCCAAGGGUUGGGCUGUUCGCCCAUUAAAGCGGCACGCGAGCUGGGUUCAGAACGUCGUGAGACAGUUCGGUCCCUAUCCGUCGCGGGCGUAGGAAAUUUGAGAGGAGCUGUCCUUAGUACGAGAGGACCGGGAUGGACUGACCUCUGGUGCACCAGUUGUUCCGCCAGGAGCACAGCUGGGUAGCUAAGUCGGGAAGGGAUAAACGCUGAAAGCAUCUAAGCGUGAAGCCCACCUCAAGAUGAGAUUUCCCAUAGCAUAAGCUAGUAAGACCCCUUGA